UACGUAGGUGGCGAGCGUUGUCCGGAUUUAUUGGGCGUAAAGCGCGCGCAGGUGGUGCGGUAAGUCUGUCGUGAAAUCUCCUGGCUCAACUGGGAGGGUGCGGUGGAGACUGCCGGACUGGAGGCACUCAGAGGCCGGUGGAAUUCCCGGUGUAGUGGUGAAAUGCGUAGAGAUCGGGAGGAACACCAGUGGCGAAGGCGGCCGGCUGGGGGUGACCUGACGCUGAGGCGCGAAAGCGUGGGGAGCGAACAGG
rnacentral:rRNA from 1 species